CACCGCAGUCUACCUCCCUCUCACUUCUGGGCUCCCCAACUUGAUGCAUCUGGGGAGGGAGGGUCUCUUCGGGUCCUGGGUGGGCCUGCCGUCCCGCUCACAACCUCUGCCGUCCCCUCCUGGGUAAGGCGACACAUGGGCGCUCCCAGGUAGGCGGGCGAGGAAGGGUCUGGGGAAGAAGACAGAGAUGCCGGCCUCUUGCAGUUUCAGGGUUCAAGAGGCCUCAGAGCGCGCGAGAAAGAUGGGCUCCCACACUUGCUCAUUUCAUCCCAUUCGCUGCGCGAACCGGGAGACUUAAGGCCAAGAGGGGCAGAGACUCACCCAAGGUCACUCGGCCAGCCGGAGCCUGGGGGACCGGUUCCCCACGCCCCGCCCGGUCGCCGGGAACCGCUAAGGCAAGGCGGCGGCGCCCCGAGCCUGCGCCCCAGGGCGCGGGGGCGGGGAGCGGGCCCUGCCCCGGAGCCGGGCUGCGGCGAAGGCCGGCCGGGGUGGGGCUGCCGUUUGCGGAGCGUCCGGCAGGGGUCCGCUCGCCGCCAGCCCGGCCCCUCCGCCCCGCAGCUGCCGCAGCCCGAGGAUGGCCGAGGAGGUCAUCACUCCGGUGUACUGCACUGGGGUGUCUGCACAAGUGCAGAAGCUGCGGGCCAAGGAGCUGGGCCUGGGCCGCCAUGAAAAUGCCAUCAAGUACCUGGGCCAGGAUUACGAGCAGCUCCGGGCUCACUGCCUGCAGAGUGGGAGCCUCUUCCGUGAUGAGGCUUUCCCUCCAGUGCCGCAGAGCCUGGGCUUCAAGGAACUGGGCCCCAACUCCUCCAAAACCUAUGGCGUCAAGUGGAAGCGUCCCACGGAGCUGUUCUCAAACCCCCAGUUCAUCGUGGAUGGAGCCACCCGAACAGACAUCUGCCAGGGAGCACUGGGGGACUGCUGGCUCCUGGCUGCCAUCGCCUCCCUUACCCUCAACGACACCCUCCUGCACCGAGUAGUUCCACACGGCCAAAGCUUCCAGAAUGGCUAUGCUGGCAUCUUCCAUUUCCAGCUGUGGCAGUUUGGGGAGUGGGUGGACGUGGUGGUGGAUGACCUGCUGCCCACCAAAGACGGGAAGCUGGUGUUCGUGCACUCUGCCCAAGGCAACGAGUUCUGGAGCGCCCUGCUCGAGAAGGCUUAUGCCAAGGUGAAUGGCAGCUACGAGGCCCUGUCCGGGGGCAGCACCUCCGAGGGCUUUGAGGACUUCACGGGCGGGGUCACCGAGUGGUACGAGCUGCGGAAGGCACCCAGCGACCUCUACAGCAUCAUCCUCAAGGCGCUGGAGCGAGGCUCCCUGCUGGGCUGCUCCAUUGACAUCUCCAGCGUUCUGGACAUGGAGGCUGUCACCUUCAAGAAGCUAGUGAAGGGCCACGCCUACUCCGUGACUGGGGCCAAGCAGGUGAACUACCAGGGCCAGAUGGUGAACCUGAUCCGGAUGCGGAACCCCUGGGGCGAGGUGGAGUGGACGGGAGCCUGGAGUGAUGGCUCCUCGGAGUGGAACGGUGUGGACCCCUACCAGCGGGAUCAGCUCCGGGUCCGGAUGGAGGAUGGGGAGUUCUGGAUGUCCUUCCGAGACUUCUUGCGUGAGUUCACCCGCCUGGAGAUCUGCAACCUGACGCCCGACGCGCUCAAGAGCCAGAGGGUCCGCAACUGGAACACCACCCUCUACGAGGGCACCUGGCGGCGGGGGAGCACCGCGGGGGGCUGCCGCAACUACCCAGCCACCUUCUGGGUGAACCCCCAGUUCAAGAUCCGGCUGGAGGAGACGGAUGACCCAGAGGACGACUACGGGGGCCGUGAGUCAGGCUGCAGCUUCGUGCUCGCCCUCAUGCAGAAACACCGCCGCCGGGAGCGCCGAUUCGGCCGGGACAUGGAGACCAUCGGCUUUGCCGUCUAUGAGGUCCCUCCGGAGCUGGUGGGCCAGCCGGUGCACCUGAAGCGGGACUUCUUCCUGGCCAACGCCUCUCGGGCCCGGUCCGAGCAGUUCAUCAACCUGCGGGAGGUCAGUACCCGCUUCCGCCUGCCGCCCGGCGAGUACGUGGUGGUGCCUUCCACCUUCGAGCCCAACAAGGAGGGCGACUUUGUGCUGCGUUUCUUCUCAGAGAAGAAAGCCGGGACCCAAGAGCUGGACGACCAGGUCCAGGCCAUUCUCCCCGACGAGCAAGUGCUCUCGGAAGAGGAGAUUGAUGAGAACUUCAAAGCGCUCUUCAGACAGCUGGCAGGGGAGGACAUGGAGAUCAGCGUCAGGGAGCUGCGCACCAUCCUCAACAGGAUCAUCAGCAAACACAAAGACCUGCGGACCAAGGGCUUCAGCCUGGAGUCCUGCCGCAGCAUGGUCAACCUCAUGGACCGUGAUGGCAACGGGAAGCUGGGCCUGGUGGAGUUCAACAUCCUGUGGAACCGCAUCCGGAAUUACCUGGUAGGUGGUCCCACCUGGCGGCGCCCUCGCCUCCUCUGUGGCCUUGGCCUCAGCACACAGCCCGGCUCGGGCUCGCAGGCCGACUGGGUGGGAUCAGGCCUUUGCCCUGGGCCCACCUCUCCGAGCCCCCCCCACAUCCCAGUGGCUGACCCCCUGCGGGCCUCUGCCCUCCACCCUCAUGGAGCAUCCGUCCACCUUGGGUGGAUGGGAAGCGCUGGAUGCUCACCGGCCCCCUACCCUCUGUCCCCCCCACCCCCUGCUGCCCCCAGUCCAUCUUCCGGAAGUUCGACUUGGACAAGUCAGGCAGCAUGAGCGCCUACGAGAUGCGGAUGGCCAUCGAGUCUGCAGGUGAGGCCUGAGGCCAUGGCGCCCCAUGCAGGAGGCCCCAGGCCGUUUCCCUGACAACCGCCGGGGGCAGUGGCCCCAUCACUGGCCUCUGUCCUUGGGGAGUGGCGGCAACGCGGUAACAGCCCUUUCUCAUAGUUACUAAGCCAAGCGCUCCUCAGCGUUUCCUUUUGCCCUCACUGCCGCCUGAUGAGGAUAGAGUCUGGGAUUAGCCCAUCGAGCACAGAGAGAAGGACAGCUCAGAGAGGGGGAGUGACUGGCCUGAAGACACACAGCCAGGGAGGAGCGGAGCCUCCAGUGAGGGUGGUACAGGGCUCACAGGCCAGGCAGCACGAGGCCAGGGCAUUCAGGACAAAGGAAACUGGACUCGUGGGCCCUGAUGGCCAGCUCCCGACUCCCUGGGGCAGUUGAAGGUCUUCCACUGGUCCGGCGCUUGCUCGUCCAGCGCCUCCCAGCUCCCAGCCCUGCCCGGGAGGUUGUCAUUCCCCUGAGCCUUGGAGCCCACCCGGCCGGGCCCCAGCCCCCUGCUCCGUCCCCUCUGGCCUGGUGCACCGCCCUGGCCCUCACCGGCUCUCCCGGGCCAGGGUUCAAGCUCAACAAGAAGCUGUUUGAGCUCAUCAUCACCCGCUACUCGGAGCCCGACCUGGCCGUGGACUUCGACAACUUCGUGUGCUGCCUGGUGCGGCUGGAGACCAUGUUCCGAUUUUUCAAGACUCUGGACACAGAUCUGGAUGGAGUUGUGACCUUUGACUUGUUUAAGUGGUUGCAGCUGACCAUGUUUGCAUGAGGUGGGGCUCGGGCCCCUUGCUGUGCUCUUCUGCCCUCGUCUGCCAAGCCAUGCCUUCCCGCCAUGCCACACCAGGCCACACCAGCUGCAAGUGCCUUCCUGGGAGCAGGAGGUGGCCUCGUCCUCCUGUCCCCUCAUCUCCCACCGCCGUGGUUCAUUCGCUCUGGGCAGAGCUGUGUGGCCCUCCCUGCCUCCACUGGCCGCGGGCUCAGAUGGACUCCCCCAGCCCCUCUGGCCGCCGCACUAGGAAGGCAGCUUUUGCUUGUUCCUGCCUAGGAUGGGGCUUCUGGGGCUUCGGGAAGACUGACAGCCCCAGGCCUCUGACAUCCUGAUGUGUCCUCACCCCUCCUCCACCUCCAGGGGCCACCCAUCCAGCCCCGCCCGCGGCCUCACCUGCAGACUUUACACGAUAACCACUAGCUCUGCACAGUCUGCGGUCUAGACGUGCAGAGCCCCUCCCUGGGGGCUGGGAACGCCUGUUCCUUCCUGUGCAAAAGCCGAUGCCCCUCUCUGCCCCCCAGCCCUGUCCCCACCUGCCAACCAGGGGUGGCCUGGCCUGGGAGGUGGCCAGGCUUCCUGGCCCCCCCCUUCCUUUUUUAUAUUGGUGAUUUUAAAGGGGACUCUGUGGGGACUGAUUAUCAGUUGUGAGGGUGCCAGAGGCACCCGGACGUGGCGGGGUUGUGGGGACAUCUCAUGUUUCCAUGCAGAGAAGCCCCAAAUAAUAAAGGAAAAGGCCCCA